UCUUUAACCCACUGCACUGGGCUGGUGAUAGAAUCCUCAGCUCUGCAACGACCGGAACUAGUACCGUCGGAUUCUUAACUCGCUGCGCCAUGGUAGAGCCUGGGUGAUUUGCUGAUAUAGUGUAUGAUUCAGAGGAGCCAAGGUCCUUCCAAGGUUUUUGGUCUGAGCAAUUGGAAAGAUGGUGUUCCCACUGAAAUAGUGUCAACUGUGGGAGGAGCAGUUUGACAAGAUGCAUUUAGUGAGCUCAUAGCAAAUGAAGCUACCCCAGACAGAUAAAAACAAAUGAGAUGGAUGGAGGGACAUAGGCAAGAUACAGAAAACAAAUGAACCCAGUAUCUGUAAAAUAUCAAUAAAAUACUUUCCUUUGCCACAA